rnacentral:rRNA from 1 species
GGGUUGUGAGGUUAAGCGACUAAGCGUACACGGUGGAUGCCCUGGCAGUCAGAGGCGAUGAAGGACGUGCUAAUCUGCGAUAAGCGUCGGUAAGGUGAUAUGAACCGUUAUAACCGGCGAUUUCCGAAUGGGGAAACCCAGUGUGUUUCGACACACUAUCAUUAACUGAAUCCAUAGGUUAAUGAGGCGAACCGGGGGAACUGAAACAUCUAAGUACCCCGAGGAAAAGAAAUCAACCGAGAUUCCCCCAGUAGCGGCGAGCGAACGGGGAGCAGCCCAGAGCCUGAAUCAGUAUGUGUGUUAGUGGAAGCGUCUGGAAAGGCGCGCGAUACAGGGUGACAGCCCCGUACACAAAAAUGCACAUGCUGUGAGCUCGAUGAGUAGGGCGGGACACGUGGUAUCCUGUCUGAAUAUGGGGGGACCAUCCUCCAAGGCUAAAUACUCCUGACUGACCGAUAGUGAACCAGUACCGUGAGGGAAAGGCGAAAAGAACCCCGGCGAGGGGAGUGAAAAAGAACCUGAAACCGUGUACGUACAAGCAGUGGGAGCACAGAGCAAUCUGUGUGACUGCGUACCUUUUGUAUAAUGGGUCAGCGACUUAUAUUCUGUAGCAAGGUUAACCGAAUAGGGGAGCCGAAGGGAAACCGAGUCUUAACUGGGCGUUAAGUUGCAGGGUAUAGACCCGAAACCCGGUGAUCUAGCCAUGGGCAGGUUGAAGGUUGGGUAACACUAACUGGAGGACCGAACCGACUAAUGUUGAAAAAUUAGCGGAUGACUUGUGGCUGGGGGUGAAAGGCCAAUCAAACCGGGAGAUAGCUGGUUCUCCCCGAAAGCUAUUUAGGUAGCGCCUCGUGAAUUCAUCUCCGGGGGUAGAGCACUGUUUCGGCAAGGGGGUCAUCCCGACUUACCAACCCGAUGCAAACUGCGAAUACCGGAGAAUGUUAUCACGGGAGACACACGGCGGGUGCUAACGUCCGUCGUGAAGAGGGAAACAACCCAGACCGCCAGCUAAGGUCCCAAAGUCAUGGUUAAGUGGGAAACGAUGUGGGAAGGCCCAGACAGCCAGGAUGUUGGCUUAGAAGCAGCCAUCAUUUAAAGAAAGCGUAAUAGCUCACUGGUCGAGUCGGCCUGCGCGGAAGAUGUAACGGGGCUAAACCAUGCACCGAAGCUGCGGCAGCGACGCUGAUGCGUUGUUGGGUAGGGGAGCGUUCUGUAAGCCUGCGAAGGUGUGCUGUGAGGCAUGCUGGAGGUAUCAGAAGUGCGAAUGCUGACAUAAGUAACGAUAAAGCGGGUGAAAAGCCCGCUCGCCGGAAGACCAAGGGUUCCUGUCCAACGUUAAUCGGGGCAGGGUGAGUCGACCCCUAAGGCGAGGCCGAAAGGCGUAGUCGAUGGGAAACAGGUUAAUAUUCCUGUACUUGGUGUUACUGCGAAGGGGGGACGGAGAAGGCUAUGUUGGCCGGGCGACGGUUGUCCCGGUUUAAGCGUGUAGGCUGGUUUUCCAGGCAAAUCCGGAAAAUCAAGGCUGAGGCGUGAUGACGAGGCACUACGGUGCUGAAGCAACAAAUGCCCUGCUUCCAGGAAAAGCCUCUAAGCAUCAGGUAACAUCAAAUCGUACCCCAAACCGACACAGGUGGUCAGGUAGAGAAUACCAAGGCGCUUGAGAGAACUCGGGUGAAGGAACUAGGCAAAAUGGUGCCGUAACUUCGGGAGAAGGCACGCUGAUAUGUAGGUGAAGUCCCUCGCGGAUGGAGCUGAAAUCAGUCGAAGAUACCAGCUGGCUGCAACUGUUUAUUAAAAACACAGCACUGUGCAAACACGAAAGUGGACGUAUACGGUGUGACGCCUGCCCGGUGCCGGAAGGUUAAUUGAUGGGGUUAGCGCAAGCGAAGCUCUUGAUCGAAGCCCCGGUAAACGGCGGCCGUAACUAUAACGGUCCUAAGGUAGCGAAAUUCCUUGUCGGGUAAGUUCCGACCUGCACGAAUGGCGUAAUGAUGGCCAGGCUGUCUCCACCCGAGACUCAGUGAAAUUGAACUCGCUGUGAAGAUGCAGUGUACCCGCGGCAAGACGGAAAGACCCCGUGAACCUUUACUAUAGCUUGACACUGAACAUUGAGCCUUGAUGUGUAGGAUAGGUGGGAGGCUUUGAAGUGUGGACGCCAGUCUGCAUGGAGCCGACCUUGAAAUACCACCCUUUAAUGUUUGAUGUUCUAACGUUGACCCGUAAUCCGGGUUGCGGACAGUGUCUGGUGGGUAGUUUGACUGGGGCGGUCUCCUCCUAAAGAGUAACGGAGGAGCACGAAGGUUGGCUAAUCCUGGUCGGACAUCAGGAGGUUAGUGCAAUGGCAUAAGCCAGCUUGACUGCGAGCGUGACGGCGCGAGCAGGUGCGAAAGCAGGUCAUAGUGAUCCGGUGGUUCUGAAUGGAAGGGCCAUCGCUCAACGGAUAAAAGGUACUCCGGGGAUAACAGGCUGAUACCGCCCAAGAGUUCAUAUCGACGGCGGUGUUUGGCACCUCGAUGUCGGCUCAUCACAUCCUGGGGCUGAAGUAGGUCCCAAGGGUAUGGCUGUUCGCCAUUUAAAGUGGUACGCGAGCUGGGUUUAGAACGUCGUGAGACAGUUCGGUCCCUAUCUGCCGUGGGCGCUGGAGAACUGAGGGGGGCUGCUCCUAGUACGAGAGGACCGGAGUGGACGCAUCACUGGUGUUCGGGUUGUCAUGCCAAUGGCACUGCCCGGUAGCUAAAUGCGGAAGAGAUAAGUGCUGAAAGCAUCUAAGCACGAAACUUGCCCCGAGAUGAGUUCUCCCUGACUCCUUGAGAGUCCUGAAGGAACGUUGAAGACGACGACGUUGAUAGGCCGGGUGUGUAAGCGCAGCGAUGCGUUGAGCUAACCGGUACUAAUGAACCGUGAGGCUUAACCUUACAACGCCGAAG